rnacentral:tRNA from 1 species
GCGGUGGUGGCGAAAUUGGUAGACGCACCAGGUUUAGGUCCUGACGUCCGCAAGGACGUGCGGGUUCGAGUCCCGCUCACCGCA